GAUCCUGGCUCAGGAUGAACGCUAGCUACAGGCUUAACACAUGCAAGUCGAGGGGCAUCAGUUUGGUUUGCUUGCAAACCAAAGCUGGCGACCGGCGCACGGGUGAGUAACACGUAUCCAACCUACCUCAUACUCGGGGAUAGCCUUUCGAAAGAAAGAUUAAUAUCCGAUAGCAUAUAUUUCCCGCAUGGGUUUUAUAUUAAAGAAAUUCGGUAUGAGAUGGGGAUGCGUUCCAUUAGUUUGUUGGGGGGGUAACCGG
rnacentral:rRNA from 1 species